rnacentral:lncRNA from 1 species
GGGAGGGGGGAGAAACACAGAACAGUCAGUGACGCGCACUGUCCCCCUCCCCCACACCCACCCGCUCUUUCCGCCCCCCACCCCAGCCACCCUAGCAGGGCACCCGAACCGCUCAGGCUGAACUUAGUUCCACACUCCUCGGGGGCAGCCCGGAAGCCGGCUCCCCGGCAGGCGCCCCCACGGAGCGAGGGAGCGACGCCUCCGAGGAGUACCUAGCAAGGCCGAGCUCCGCACCAUGGAGAAUCAAGGAAGACCAGGGGGCCUCCCUUCAAAAAGCAUAAGCAACCAAGCAAACUAUGAUACACGACAGAAUGGUGCCAAGGGAGAACUGCUGAGCACUGUUUCCCAAUUUCCUGUUACAGAAAAUAAAAUCCCACUGGUUCCAAGAGAGAACAUA